GAUGAACGCUGGCGGCGUGCCUAACACAUGCAAGUCGAGCGGCAGCGCGCGUAGUUUACUACUUGGCGGCGAGCGGCGGACGGCUGAGUCACGCGUGGGAACAUGCCCCAACGUGAGGAAUAACUGACCGAACGGGUAGCAAAUGCCGCUAAUGAUCUUCGGUUUAAGGGAUUUAUCCGCGAUGGUCGUGGCCUGCGUACGAUUAGGUAGGUGGUGAGGUAAUGGCUCACCAAGUCGACGACCGUUACCUGGUUGGAGAGGAUGAUCAGUCAGACUGGAACUGAGACACGGUCCAGACUCCUACGGGGGGCAGCAGUGAGGAAUCUUCCACAAGGGGCGAAAGCCUGAUGGAGCAACGCCGCGUGCAGGAUGAAGGCCUUCGUGUUGCAAACUGCUUUUAUGCGUGAAGAAUAUGACGGUAACUCAUGAAUAAGGGUCGGCUAACUACGUG
rnacentral:rRNA from 1 species